AGAGUUUGAUCAUGGCUCAGAAUCAACGCUGGCGGCGUGCCUAACACAUGCAAGUCGCACGAGAAAGGGGCUUCGGUCCUGAGUAAAGUGGCGCACGGGUGAGUAACACGUGAAUAAUCUACCUCCGAGUGGGGAAUAACUGAGAGAAAUCUUAGCUAAUACCGCAUAACACUUACGAGUCAAAGCAGCAAUGCGCUUGGAGAGGAGUUCGCGGCCGAUUAGUUAGUUGGCGGGGUAAUGGCCCACCAAGACGAUGAUCGGUAUCCGGCCUGAGAGGGCGCACGGACACACUGGAACUGAAACACAGUCCAGACUCCUACGGGAGGCAGCAGUGGGGAAUUUUGCGCAAUGGGGGAAACCCUGACGCAGCAACGCCGCGUGGAGGAUGAAGUAUCUUGGUACGUAAACUCCUUUCGAUUGGGAAGAUAAUGACGGUACCAAUAGAAGAAGCCCCGGCUAACUUCGUGCCAGCAGCCGCGGUAAUACGAGGGGGGCAAGCGUUGUUCGGAUUUAUUGGGCGUAAAGGGUGCGUAGGCGGUUUGGCAAGUCUUGUGUGAAAUCUUCGGGCUCAACCCGAAGCCUGCACAAGAAACUGCCGGGCUUGAGUAUGGGAGAGGUGAGUGGAAUUUCCGGUGUAGCGGUGAAAUGCGUAGAUAUCGGAAGGAACACCUGUGGCGAAAGCGGCUCACUGGACCAUAACUGACGCUGAGGCACGAAAGCUAGGGGAGCAAACAGGAUUAGAUACCCUAGUAGUCC
rnacentral:rRNA from 1 species